ensembl:snRNA U1 U1 spliceosomal RNA
AUACUUACCCAGCAGGGGUGAUACCAUGAUCACAAAGGUGAUUCUCCCAGGGUGAGGUUUAUCCAUUGCACUCCGGAUGUGCUGACCCCUUCAAUUUCCCCAAAUGUGGGAAACUUGACUGCAUAAUUUGUGGUAGUGGGGGACUGCAUUCAUGCUCUCCCCUG